AUACUAUCAGCCUUGGUGCAUGCAAACCUGAAACCUUCUUGGGUGAGAAGUGAAAACUUCAAUGAUGACUGCUUGUCUCAUCAUCACACUUGUGAUUCUUAAUCUGAUGCUUCCAUGAGAAUCUUUGGCCACAAACUGCGCAGGCAAAAGGUUUCUCACCAGUGUGUAUUCUUGUGUGUAUUUUUAAGCUUGCCUUCUCAGUAAAUCUUUGGCCACAAACUGCGCAGGCAAAAGGUUUCUCACCAGUGUGGGCUCUUACGUGGUUUGUUAACUUUCUCUUCUCAGAAAAUCUUUGCCCACAAACUGUGCAAGCAAAAGGUUUCUCACCAGUGUGGGUUCUUGUGUGACAUGUUAAGUUUCCCUUGCGAGAGAAUAUUUGGCCACAAACUGCGCAGGUAAACGGUUUCUCACCAGUGUGUAUUCUUGUGUGUAUUUUUAAGCUUCCCUUUUCAGAAAAUCUUUGCCCACAAACUGCGCAGGCAAAAGGUUUCUCACCAG